rnacentral:rRNA from 1 species
UACAGAGGUCUCAAGCGUUGUUCGGAUUCAUUGGGCGUAAAGGGUGCGUAGGCGGCGCGGUAAGUCGGGUGUGAAAUCCCGGAGCUCAACUCCGGAACUGCCUUUGAUACUGGGUGUCUUGAGUGUGGAAGAGGUGAGUGGAAUUCCGAGUGUAGAGGUGAAAUUCGUAGAUAUUCGGAGGAACACCAGUGGCGAAGGCGGCUCACUGGUCCAUUACUGACGCUGAGGUGCGAAAGCGUGGGGAGCAAACAGG